rnacentral:rRNA from 1 species
UGGGGAAUUUUGGACAAUGGGCGAAAGCCUGAUCCAGCAAUGCCGCGUGUGUGAAGAAGGCCUUCGGGUUGUAAAGCACUUUUGUCCGGAAAGAAAUCCUCUGGGUUAAUACCUCGGGGGGAUGACGGUACCGGAAGAAUAAGCACCGGCUAACUACGUGCCAGCAGCCGCGGUAAUACGUAGGGUGCAAGCGUUAAUCGGAAUUACUGGGCGUAAAGCGUGCGCAGGCGGUUUUGUAAGACGGAUGUGAAAUCCCCGGGCUUAACCUGGGAACUGCAUUCGUGACUGCAAGGCUAGAGUAUGGCAGAGGGGGGUUAGAAUUCCACGUGUAGCAGUGAAAUGCGUAGAGAUGUGGAGGAAUACCGAUGGCGAAGGCAGCCCCCUGGGCCAAUACUGACGCUCACGCACGAAAGCGUGGGGAGCAAACAGGAUUAGAUACCCUGGGUAGUCCACGCCCUAAACGAUGUCAACUAGUUGUUGGGGAUUCAUUUCCUUAGUAACGUAGCUAACGCGUGAAGUUGACCGCCU